CUCGUCGUGUGAAGUGUGGUCGUCGUCAUUGUAGUCGCCCGCUCGACUACUUCAUUCAACCCUUAAGGAAAACUGCAUGAAACAAUUCAAACAA